AAAUAUAUGCUAUGGUCAAAUUUCAAUUUUCAUCCUUAGACUAUAUUCAAAUUUGAGAUUAUAUAAUAAUGGUAAAAAAUUGAUCUUUGAAUUUAACUUUUUAACAUUGGUUUUUUUUAAGACAACAAAUAACAUUAAUCAUAAGAGUACAAUCAUACCCUAAAAAUUGAAACAAUAAGAAAAAUGACAAUUAAGGCCCAGCCCAGUCCUAAGAGGAGAAAACCAUAGCCACCACCGUUCCCAGCCGCUGUCGCUUGCAAUAGGGGAGUGAGGAAAGUGACCGAAGAAAUGAACACCAACAGGAUUGUCAUACUCACGCCUAACAGAUCCAUCGUCGAGGAGGAGCCAAGGCCAAGGGAGAGCCCAAACGGGCCACCGUCACCCCCGUGGAGCUAGUAGGGGACACUGACGACUGUAAAUCCAAAGCCUCCGAGAGGGGCAUUAGCACCAAGACAAAACAAGGGUCAGGUGCAACUCGAUCGACGUUACUAAGCACAAGCCAUCAAGGCCAAACGGCGACGACGCUCCACCUGGCAUGGAAAUUGCCAAGAACCACCUACCCAAAGAGUUGAAGAGGAGGUAUAUUUAACUAAAAUAAAAUACAUUGAACUGUUAUAUCUGCUGCUGCCACCAGUUGAACUGUCCGUGGGAACUGCUUAAACCACUGAAACUUGUAGAGUUAAUAUUUUGAGAGGAGGGAAGCAAGGACAAGAGAGGUAAGACAGCUAGCCACCAACAACUGGUGGUUGGCUGUCUACAAAGAGAAAGGUGAAAGUUGAUUCUUAAACAACACUAAAUUGAUUCUUAAACAACACUAAAAAAAAGAGAGAAAACUCUUAAGAGAACAUUUUUUCUUUCUUAAACUUGGAACCAACAUUGAUUAGCUAAAUUGUAACGAAUAGAAAUUCAGAUUUUCAUUUCUGUAAAUUAAAUCUGUAUGGACGAAAACUAAAGAUUGAGAAAUUAAUAUCAAAAUAUAUUGAGG
rnacentral:lncRNA from 1 species